UUUUUUAACUAACAUGAUUUUUAACUCAAUCUUAUUGCAUUCUUAUUGAUUAUAAUCAUGUAAGUCUCUAAAAAGCUAUUUACAAAGAAAUAUAACUUAUAAUAUAAAGAUAGAUUGCUAAAAAUAAAUAAAUAAACUAAUUAGAAUCAUAUAUACCUAUUGGAUUUGGUUGAAUGGACUAAUGUGAUGAUAAGAAGAUGGCAAUCAUGUAGUUAAUGUUUGAGAUCUGAGAUGGAAUCAUUCUAAUUUGGUAUUGUUGAUA
rnacentral:lncRNA from 1 species